GGAAGGCUUGACACCAUUGCACGUAUUUAAGAUGGCAGAAGGAGGGUUUUCGAUUCUCAACCUACCAAUUGACCAAUUCAUACAAUGCAUCCACUGUUAUAUGCUUUUCGAAAAAGAUAAUGUUUAUUAUUGGCCAUUAUUAUCUAUAGAAGAUUAUCUUAAUGGGAUAAGCUAUACAGCAGCAGGAUGUGAAUAUCUUGAUGAAUACUACUUUGACACGGCCAAUGUUCCAUGUGGCAUAAGUUGUCCACAUUGCGGUAAAGAUUUUGAAACCGUUGCACAGGUUACUGCACGUCCAGUAUGGAAUGAUGAUGAAAUGUUGGAAGGAAGAGUGCCUGAUAUCUGUGGUUUUGAUAAUGUAAUAAUAUUAAAAGUCUCUAUGUCGUUAGAGAAAACAACGACAAUUUCAAGAGUGCUUCAAAUGUGAUAAGAACUUUGAAAUCCCUGAAGAUGUUGAAUUGAACAUUCAACAUGACCUUGAUAGUGUCGUAGUGCCUGGUUCAAUUACAUUGAAAAUUAUCGCAAAGACAAAAAUGAAUAAAGGAUUUUGCUACCUUGGAUUAGACGAAAGAACUGGUCGUAUCUUUAGGCCUAUCUUUAACACCGGCAACCAGAAAUGUAACUGGCCUACGAAUGAACAAUUAGAGUUUGGUAUGUUGUAUAUAUUUAGCGUAAUAGCUCAUCCGGACCAAAAGAAGAACUUAACGCCAUUUCCGCACCGUAAUGAAGACAUGAUUGUAGAUGGAUUCUCUAUUUUGGAAACACCAGUCACCUGUGUAUAUUCUGUAUACCCAUCCUUUUUAGAAAUGGCCAAGUCUGAUGUAAACGAAGUGUUUAAUGAUAUACGAGACAGACGCUUCGUCGACGAACAAACAGAAUGCAGUUCAGCGGGUAUAAUAAGGUCCGAAGCAUUGAUUAGAUUCAAUGAAAAAAAGGCGAAAAACUAUUGUCAUAUCAGAUGUCCAUCUGGUGAGUACGCCUUUCCCAUCACUACAUUACAGUUUGAUCAUAUCGGUAAAGAAUACACGGAUGCAGUAAUAAUUCUUGGAUUAGGUCGUCCUUAUAAAGGCACGGGAAAACCAUUUAUACCAGCAAGGUGUUAUAUACUUGCUGUUGGGAUAUAUUUACCAAAUGUACAAAUGGCUCUUCCUCCAAAUCAUUGAAUAGUACUUUAUGGCUUUUAUUAAAAAAUAUAAACUUCCUAUUGUAAUAUAUAUAUAUAUAUACUAUACAUACCAGAUCGCUAUGACUGAAGAGACCAAAAAACUUUGAUUUAUUGUCAUAA